AGCGUAGGCGGCGUGGUAAGUCAGAUGUGAAAUCCCGGGGCUCAACCCCGGAACUGCAUCCGAUACUGCCGUGCUAGAGGAUUGGAGAGGUAGCUGGAAUUCUUGGUGUAGCAGUGAAAUGCGUGGAGAUCAAGAGGAACACUCGUGGCGAAAGCGAGCUACUGGACAAUAUCUGACGCUGAGGCUCCAAGGGCCAGGGUAAGGCGAAAG
rnacentral:rRNA from 1 species